AUGCAGCAGCAGCAGCAGGAGGAGGAGGAUGAGAGUUUGAAGGCGGCGGCGGCGGCGGUGGAGGAGGGAGGAGGGAAGACGAAGAGGAAGCGGGGGAGGGUGGAGUUGCGGCGGAUAGAGGACAGGACGAGCCGGCAGGUUCGCUUCUCCAAGCGGCGGAGCGGGCUCUUCAAGAAGGCCUUCGAGCUCUCCGUGCUCUGCGACGCCGAGGUUGCGCUAGUUGUCUUCUCUCCCGCCGGUCGCCUCUACGAGUUCGUCUCGUCCGACACCAGGUAUACCGUAUAUCCGUAUGUAUACUAUAUACUAAUCUAA
rnacentral:rRNA from 1 species